AACGAACGCUGGCGGCAUGCUUAACACAUGCAAGUCGAACGCGCCCUUGGGCUUCGGCCUGGGGUGAGUGGCGCACGGGUGAGUAGCGCGUGGGAACCUGCCCUGUUGUGGGGGAUAACCGAGGGAAACUUACGGCUAAUACCGCAUACGCCCGGUGGAGCGAUCCAUCGGGGAAAGAUUUAUCGCAGCAGGAGGGGCCCGCGUCGGAUUAGCUUGUUGGUGGGGUAACGCCUACCAAGGCGANGAUCCGUAGCUGGUCUGAGAGGAUGAUCAGCCACACUGGGACUGAGACAC
rnacentral:rRNA from 1 species